rnacentral:tRNA from 2 species
GUUAUAAUAAUUUAAAAAAAAUAAUGGUUUUGUAAACCAUCAAUGGCCCCCCUUAUAACA